rnacentral:misc_RNA from 1 species
UACGGAGGAUGCAAGCGUUAUCCGGAUUUAUUGGGUUUAAAGGGUGCGUAGGCGGCUUUUUAAGUCAGUGGUGAAAUCCCGGGGCCUAACCUCGGAACUGCCAUUGAUACUGGAAAGCUUGAAUUCGGCUGAGGUAGGCGGAAUGUAGCAUGUAGCGGUGAAAUGCAUAGAUAUGCUACAGAACACCAAUUGCGAAGGCAGCUUACUAAACCGAUAUUGACGCUGAGGCACGAAAGCGUGGGGAGCGAACAGG